rnacentral:rRNA from 1 species
GGGGGGGGGGGGGGGGGGGCUGGUGGGUGGAAGUCGGGCGGGCGGGCGGGGGGCUUGCUCCGCUGACGGUGGGGGCGGACGGGUGGGUAACACGUGGAUAACCUACCUAUAAGACUGGGAUAACUUCGGGAAACCGGAGCUAAUACCGGAUAAUAUCUUGAACCGCAUGGUUCAAUAGUGAAAGACGGUUUUGCUGUCACUUAUAGAUGGAUCCGCGCCGCAUUAGCUAGUUGGUAAGGUACCGGCUUACCAAGGCAACGAUGCGUAGCCGACCUGAGAGGGUGAUCGGCCACACUGGAACUGAGACACGGUCCAGACUCCUACGGGAGGCAGCAGUAGGGAAUCUUCCGCAAUGGGCGAAAGCCUGACGGAGCAACGCCGCGUGAGUGAUGAAGGUCUUCGGAUCGUAAAACUCUGUUAUUAGGGAAGAACAAAUGUGUAAGUAACUAUGCACGUCUUGACGGUACCUAAUCAGAAAGCCACGGCUAACUACGUG